rnacentral:rRNA from 1 species
UACGUAGGGGGCAAGCGUUGUCCGGAAUCAUUGGGCGUAAAGCGCGUGUAGGCGGCUCAGUAAGUCCGCUCUGAAAGCCCGGGGCUCAACCCUGGGAGGCGGGUGGAUACUGCUGAGCUCGAGUCCGGAAGAGGAGUGUGGAAUUCCUGGUGUAGCGGUGAAAUGCGCAGAUAUCAGGAGGAACACCAGUGGCGAAGGCGAGUCCCUGGACAACUCCUGACACUGAGGCACGAAAGCUAGGGGAGCAAACAGG